UGUCCAGGGGCGGGAAUCGAACCCACAACGUUCCGCCUACCGGGCAGAUGCCAUGUCCACUAGGCUACCCUAGGC
rnacentral:tRNA from 1 species